rnacentral:rRNA from 1 species
CCUACGGGAGGCAGCAGUGAGGAAUAUUGGUCAAUGGGCGCGAGCCUGAACCAGCCAAGUCGCGUGAAGGAAGACGGUCCUAUGGGUUGUAAACCUCUUUUAUCGGGGAACAAAAGACGCCACGCGUGGCGUUCCGAGUGUACCCGAAGAAAAAGCAUCGGCUAACUCCGUGCCAGCAGCCGCGGUAAUACGGAGGAUGCGAGCGUUAUCCGGAUUUAUUGGGUUUAAAGGGUGCGCAGGCGGAAGAUAAAGUAAGCGGUAAAAUUGGGGGGCUCAACCUCUUCGAGCCGUUGAAACUGGGUGUCUUGAGUGAGUGAGAGGUAUGCGGAAUGCGUGGUGUAGCGGUGAAAUGCAUAGAUAUCACGAAGAACUCCGAUUGCGAAGGCAGCAUACCGGCGCUCAACUGACGCUCAUGCACGAAAGUGUGGGUAUCGAACAGGAUUAGAUACCCGUGUAGUC